CGCUGGCGGCGUGCUUAACACAUGCAAGUCGAACGAGGUCCACUGCGUAGCAAUACAAGGGAAGACCUAGUGGCGAACGGGUGCGUAACACGUGAGGAACUUGUCCCCGGUCUCUGGGAUAACAGUUGGAAACGACUGCUAAUACCGGAUGACGUCGGAAUCUCGCAUGGGAUACUGACGAAAGGGUUACUGGAUCGGGAGAGCCUCGCGGCCUAUCAGCUUGUUGGUGAGGUAACGGCUCACCAAGGCAUCGACGGGUAGCUGGUCUGAGAGGAUGAUCAGCCACACUGGGACUGAGACACGGCCCAGACUCCUACGGGAGGCAGCAGUGGGGAAUCUUGCGCAAUGGGCGAAAGCCUGACGCAGCAACGCCGCGUGCGGGAAGAAGGCCCUCGGGUUGUAAACCGCUUUCAGUAGGAACGAAAAUGACGGUACCUGCAGAAGAAGGUGCGGCCAACUACGUG
rnacentral:rRNA from 1 species